rnacentral:rRNA from 1 species
AGCGAACGCUGGCGGCAGGCUUAACACAUGCAAGUCGAGCGGGCCUUUCGGGGUCAGCGGCGGACGGGUGAGUAACGCGUGGGAACGUGCCCUCUGGUUCGGAAUAACUCAGGGAAACUUGAGCUAAUACCGGAUACGCCCUUUUGGGGAAAGGCUUGCUGCCGGAGGAUCGGCCCGCGUCUGAUUAGCUAGUUGGUGAGGUAACGGCUCACCAAGGCGACGAUCAGUAGCUGGUCUGAGAGGAUGAUCAGCCACACUGGGACUGACACACGGCCCAGACUCCUACGGGAGGCAGCAGUGGGGAAUAUUGGACAAUGGGCGCAAGCCUGAUCCAGCCAUGCCGCGUGAGUGAUGAAGGCCUUAGGGUUGUAAAGCUCUUUUAUCCGGGACGAUAAUGACGGUACCGGAGGAAUAAGCCCCGGCUAACUUCGUG